rnacentral:tRNA from 1 species
CGGGACGUGGCGCAGUCUGGAAGCGCACCUGAAUGGGGUUCAGGGGGUCGCAGGUUCAAAUCCUGCCGUCCCGA